GGAGAGGGACCAUGGCUAGGUGAUAAAGCAGCUGUUUUUCACACAGAAGGUCACAGGUUCAAUCCCUGCCAUUUCCA
rnacentral:tRNA from 1 species